rnacentral:tRNA from 4 species
GCAUCCGUAGUUUAAUGGAUAAAACGCCGCCCUCCGGAGGCAGUAAUGUGGGUUCGAUUCCCGUCGGGUGCA